GGAAGGGGUGUAUUUAUUAGAUAAAAAACCAACGCCCUUCGGGGCUUCUUGGUGAUUCAUGAUAACUUCACGGAUCGCAUGGCCUUGCGCCGGCGACGGUUCAUUCAAAUUUCUGCCCUAUCAACUUUCGAUGGUAAGGUAUUGGCUUACCAUGGCUUCAACGGGUAACGGGGAAUUAGGGUUCGAUUCCGGAGAGGGAGCCUGAGAAACGGCUACCACAUCCAAGGAAGGCAGCAGGCGCGCAAAUUACCCAAUCCCGACACGGGGAGGUAGUGACAAUAAAUACUGAUACAGGGCUCUUUUGGGUCUUGUAAUUGGAAUGAGUACAAUUUAAACCUCUUAACGAGGAACAAUUGGAGGGCAAGUCUGGUGCCAGCAGCCGCGGUAAUUCCAGCUCCAAUAGCGUAUAUUAAAGUUGUUGCAGUUAAAAAGCUCGUAGUUGAAACUUGGGCCUGGCUGGCAGGUCCGCCUCACCGCGUGCACUUGUCCGGCCGGGCCUUUCCUUCUGGAGAACCUCAUGCCCUUCACUGGGUGUGUUGGGGAACCAGGACUUUUAC
rnacentral:rRNA from 1 species